rnacentral:rRNA from 1 species
UGAGGAAUUUUCGGCAAUGGACGCAAGUCUGACCGAGCAACGCCGCGUGCAGGACGAAGGUUUUCGGAUCGUAAACUGCUUUUCUCGGGGAAGAGGACGGACGGUACCCGAGGAAGAAGCACCGGCUAACUACGUGCCAGCAGCCGCGGGAAUACGUAGGGGGCAAGCGUUGUCCGGAGUUACUGGGCGUAAAGCGCACGCAGGCGGUCGUGCAAGUUUGGGGUUACAGCUCCCGGCUCAACCGGGAGAGCGCCUCGAAGACUGCAGGACUUGAGGGCCAAAGAGGGACUCAGAAUUCCGGGUGUAGUGGUGAAAUGCGUAGAUAUCCGGAGGAAUACCAAAGGCGAAGGCAGUGUCCUGGUUGGUACCUGACGCUCAGGUGCGAAAGCUAGGGGAGCGAAC